GGACGAACGUAGCAAUACGUUAGUGGCGCACGGGUGAGUAACACGUGGGAAUCUGCCCUUUAGUUCGGAAUAACACCGGGAAACUGGUGCUAACACCGGAUACGCCCUUCGGGGGAAAGUUUAUCGCCAAAGGAUUAGCCCGCGUAGGAUUAGCUAGUUGGUGAGGUAAUGGCUCACCAAGGCUCCGAUCCUUAGCUGUUCUGAGAGGAAGAUCAGACACACUGGGUCUGAGACACGGCCCAGACUCCUACGGGAGGCAGCAGUUGGGAAUCUUGGACAAUGGGGGAAACCCUGAUCCAGCCAUGCCGCGUGAGUGAUGAAGGCCUUCGGGUUGUAAAACUCUUUCGACGGGGACGAUAAUGACGGUACCCGUAGAAGAAGCUCCGGCUAACUUCGUGCCAGCAGCCGCGGUAAUACGAAGGGGGCUAGCGUUGUUCGGAAUUACUGGGCGUAAAGCGCGCGCAGGCGGUCUUCCAAGUCAGUGGUGAAAGCCCGGAGCUCAACUCCGGAACUGCCAUUGAAACUGUUAGACUUGAGGACGAGAGAGGUGAGUGGAAUUCCCAGUGUAGAGGUGAAAUUCGUAGAUAUUGGGAAGAACACCGGUGGCGAAGGCGGCUCACUGGCUCGUAUCUGACGCUCAGGCGCGACAGCGUGGGGAUCAAACAGGAUUAGAUACCCUGGUAGUCCACACCGUAAACUAUGUGUGCUAGUUGUCGGGCAGUUUACUGUUCGGUGACGGAGCUAACGUUUUAAGCACACCGCCUGGGAAGUACGGCCGCAAGGUUAAAACUCAAAGGAAUUGACGGGGACCCGCACAAGCGGUGGAACAUGUCCUUUAAUUCGUAGCAACGCGAAGAACCUUACCUACCCUUGACAUGCCAGUUGGGAUUUCCAGAGAUGGAUUUCUUCAUUUAGUUGGACUGGACACAGGUGCUGCAUGGCUGUCGUCAGCUCGUGUCGUGAGAUGUUGGGUUAAGUCCCGCAACGAGCGCAACCCUCGUCGUCUGUUGCCAUCAUUCAGUUGGGCACUCAGAUGAGACUGCCGGUGAUAAGCCGGAGGAAGGUGGGGAUGACGUCAAGUCAUCAUGGCCCUUACGGGUAGGGCUAGAGACGUGUUACAAUGGUGGUGACAGUGGGUCGCAAGGUCGCGAGGCCAAGCCAAUCCCAAAAAGCCAUCUCAGUUCGGAUUGUACUCUGCAACUCGAGUACAUGAAGUUGGAAUCGCUA
rnacentral:rRNA from 1 species